rnacentral:rRNA from 1 species
UACGGAGGGUGCAAGCGUUAUCCGGAUUCACUGGGUUUAAAGGGUGCGUAGGCGGGCAGGUAAGUCAGUGGUGAAAUCUCCGGGCUUAACCCGGAAACUGCCGUUGAUACUAUCUGUCUUGAAUAUCGUGGAGGUAAGCGGAAUAUGUCAUGUAGCGGUGAAAUGCUUAGAUAUGACAUAGAACACCCAUUGCGAAGGCAGCUUACUACACGAUCAUUGGCGCUGAGGCACGAAAGCGUGGGGAGCAAACAGG